rnacentral:sRNA from 1 species
UCCAGGUGUGGUGGCGCACGCCCGUAAUCCCAGCAGCUCAGGAGGCUGAGGCAGGAGGAUUGCAAGUUCAAAGCCAGCCUCAGCAACUUAGUGAGGUCAUAAGCAACUCAGAGAGACCCUGUCUCUA